AGCUUUGUGCAGCGGCAGUAUUGUAGCCAAUAAGGUCUUUUUGAAGUGCAAUUAUUGUUAAUUGAAUGUGGUAUCAGUUACAAUUUUCCACCCAGAUUGUUGUCAUUUUUGGCUUAUACGUAUUUGCCACUUGAAAAAAGUACAUGCAGAAUUCAUGGGAACACGGCAACCUCACAGCAGUGACCUCCUAGUGAAUGUCUGGAAAUGCUGAUCACUGGUCCAGCCAAGCA
rnacentral:snRNA from 1 species